CCUACGGGGGGCAGCAGUCGAGAAUAUUCCACAAUGGACGAAAGUCUGAUGGAGCGACGCCGCGUGCGGGAUGAAGGCCUUCGGGUUGUAAACCGCUUUUUUCAGGGAGCAAUUACGAUGAGAGUACCUGAAGAAUAAGAGGUUACUAACUCUGUGCCAGCAGUAGCGGUAAUACAGAGACCUCAAGCGUUAUCCGGAUUUAUUGGGCGUAAAGCGUAGGUAGGCGGGUAUGUUAGUCGGAUGUCAAAGACCGGGGCUCAACCCCGGGAAGGCAUACGAAACGGCAUAUCUAGAGAAUGUGAGAGAUCGGUGGAAUUCAUGGUGUAGUAGUGAAAUGCGUUGAUAUCAUGAGGAACACCCAAGGCGUAGGCAACCGAUUGGCACAUUUCUGACGCUGAGCUACGAAAGCGUGGGUAGCGAAUGGGAUUAGAUACCCUGGUAGUC
rnacentral:rRNA from 1 species